UACCCAAUAGCUAGCUUAGAUAACUAAAAUCAACAAACAGUAUUAAUAACCCAAAA
rnacentral:rRNA from 1 species